AAUCAUUAGCCUCUUAAUUAGAGGCUAGAAUGAAAGGUUUAACAUUUCCUUAACUUUUUUAAAAAUUUAUAUAAAAUUUAUAUUAAAUAUAAAAAUAUAUUUAUUUACAAACUAGACGACAAGACCCUUUCAAACUUUACUGUAGUUUAGCUGGGGUAGCUAAAUAAUUAUUAUCUUAUUAGUAUAUAAAAAAAUAGACCCAAUUUAAAAUUGAUUAUAUGAUCAAGUUACUGAAGGGAUAACAGCAUAAUAAAUUUAUAUAGCUCUUAUUAAAAAAUUAGUUUAUGACCUCGAUGUUGAAUUAUUUUACUUUUACACGCAAGAGUGUAGAAAGUGGGUCUGUUCGACCUUUAAAUUUU
rnacentral:rRNA from 1 species